GAUGAAGAACGUAGCGAAAUGCGAUAAGUAAUGUGAAUUGCAGAAUUCAGUGAACCAUCGAAUCUUUGAACGCACAUUGCGCCCUCUGGUAUUCCGGAGGGCAUGCCUGUUCGAGCGUCAUUUCGACCCUCAAGCAUUGCUUGGUGUUGGGGCACCGCCUGUAAAAGGGCGGGCCCUGAAAUCUAGUGGCGAGCUCGCCAGGACCCCGAGCGUAGUAAUUAUAUUUCGUUCUGGAAGGCCCUGGCGGUGCCCUGCCGUUAAACCCCCAACUUCUGAAAAUUUGACCUCGGAUCAGGUAGGAAUACCCGCUGAACUUAAGCAUAUCAAUAAGCGGAGGA
rnacentral:misc_RNA from 1 species